rnacentral:lncRNA from 1 species
UUAUGAUUAUGCUGUUAUACUAUUAUACUAUAUUCCUGAAGUUAAUUAUUUAUUUUAGUUUUCCUAUAUCGCCAAGUAUAUCGUUAUCACAAAAAUACCUGAAAUAUUGUGAUAUUAUUUUAGAUCCAUAUCGCCCACCCCUACUCCUCACAUCCUCCACUCACUCCUCACCUCACACUCCUUACUCUUCACACUCCUCACCUCACACUCACCACACUCAUCUCACCUCACACUCUCCACACUCAUCUCACACUCCUUACUCUUCACACUCCUUACCUCACACUCACCACACUCAUCUCACACUCCUUACUCUUCACACGCCUCACCUCACACUCCUCACAUCCUCCACUCACACUCCUGACUUUUCACACCUCUCAGAUCCUCAACUCAUUCCUUACAUCCUUAACUCACACUCCUCACAUUCUCAAUUUACAGUCAUCUCAUUCUCAACUCACUCUUCACACUCCACAUCCUCAACCCACUCCUUACGUCCUCUACUCACACUCCUCACCUCCCCAACUCAGUUCACGUUCCUCCACUCACACUUUUUACAUCUGCACCUCCCUUCUUCAACUCACACUUCACAUCCUCAGUUCACACUCCUCACUCUUUACACUCCUCACCUGAUUCCUCCACUAACACCAGCACGCCCCAUUCUCAGUUCACACUUCUCAACUAAGUCCUAACACAUCCUGACCUCACAUCCACAACUUACAAUCCUCACACUUCACAUCCUCAGUUCACUCCUUUAAUCCUCCACUCACACUCCUUACAUCCUCACCCCACAUCCUGAACUCACACUCCUCACUUCCCAUCCUCAACCCUUCCACUCACUCCUCCACUUAAACUCCUCACCUCUCUUUACACUCCUCAUCUCACACUCCCCACUUACAUUCAUCUCACACUCAGGGUUGCCACCUGUCCUGUAAAAUACAGAACACCCUUUAUUUGGCUAUUAAAUAUUGCGUCCCAUAUUGUACCAAUAUGCAAAGCGAUUUGUUCUUUAUUUCCA